rnacentral:rRNA from 1 species
GACGAACGCUGGCGGCGUGCUUAACACAUGCAAGUCGAACGGUGAACGAGGGAGCUUGCUCCCUCCGGAUCAGUGGCGAACGGGUGAGUAACACGUGAGCAAUCUGCCCCGAACUCUGGGAUAAGCGUUGGAAACGACGUCUAAUACCGGAUACGGCGCGGGAGGGCAUCCUCUCCGCGUGGAAAGAACUUCGGUUCGGGAUGAGCUCGCGGCCUAUCAGCUUGUUGGUGAGGUAACGGCUCACCAAGGCGACGACGGGUAGCCGGCCUGAGAGGGUGACCGGCCACACUGGGACUGAGACACGGCCCAGACUCCUACGGGAGGCAGCAGUGGGGAAUAUUGCACAAUGGGCGCAAGCCUGAUGCAGCAACGCCGCGUGAGGGACGACGGCCUUCGGGUUGUAAACCUCUUUUAGCAGGGAAGAAGCGAAAGUGACGGUACCUGCAGAAAAAGCACCGGCUAACUACGUG